GUGCAGUGCGGUGCGGUGCGGUGCAGCGAGGUGAGAUCCUGCGGCGUCGGCUUUGUCGUCGUUGGUCGGCGCAUCACCGGCCCGUCCCAUGGUGUGGUGGUUGGUUGUUGGUCGGUUGGUUAGCGGGUUGGCAACCAAUGCGUCGUCACCGGGGCGGAGCAUGAGCACGCAUGUUGAGACCCGAAAGAUGGUGAGCUAUGCUUGCGUAGGUUGAAGCCAGAGGAAACUCUGGUGGUGGACCGUAGCGAUUCUGACGUGCAAAUCGAUCGUCAAACGUGAGUAUAGGGGCGAGAGACUAAUCGAACCGUCUAGCAGCUGGUUCCCUCCGAAGUUUCCCUCAGGAUAGCUGGUACUCGUUGGAAUCAGUUUCCUCCGGUAAAGCGAAUGAUUAGAGGUGCUGGGUUCGAAACGAGCUCAACCUAUUCUCAAACUUUAAAUGGGUGAGAUGUCCAACUCGCUUCACACGCGUGCAUGCAUGCCUUGCAGGCGAUGGUGGAGUUGGGCGUUGAAUGCGUGAGUGCCAAGUGGGCCAUUUUUGGUAAGCAGAACUGGCGCUGUGGGAUGAACCAAACGCCUGGUUAAGGUGCCUAACACUGACGCUCAUGAGAUACCGCAAAAGGUGUUGGUUAAUAUAGACAGCAGGGCGGUGGCCAUGGAAGUUAGCAUCCGCUAAGGAGUGUGUAACAACUCACCUGCCGAAUUGACCAGCCCCGAAAAUGGAUGGCGCUGGAGCGUCGGACCUAUACCAGGCCGUCAUCGCAAACUGCUGGUGCACGUG
rnacentral:ncRNA from 1 species